rfam:Blastocystis sp. NandII AV274scaffold_123, whole genome shotgun sequence.
GCCUCAAUAGCUCAGUUGGUAGAGCAUCCGCUUCGUAAGCGGCAGGUCGUGUGUUCGAAUCCCACUUGGGGCU